AACGAACGCUGGCGGCAGGCUUAACACAUGCAAGUCGAACGCCCCGCAAGGGGAGUGGCAGACGGGUGAGUAACGCGUGGGAACGUGCCCUUCGCUUAGGAAUAGCCCCGGGAAACUGGGAGUAAUACCGAAUACGCCGUAUUGGGAAAGAUUUAUCGGCGAAGGAACGGCCCGCGUUAGAUUAGCUAGUUGGGAGUGUAAUGGACAACCAAGGCGACGAUCUAUAGCUGGUCUGAGAGAGAUGAUCAGCCACACUGGGACUGAGACACGGCCCAGACUCCCACGGGAGGCAGCAGUGGGGAAUCUUGGACAAUGGGCGCAAGCCUGAUCCAGCCAUGCCGCGUGAGUGAAGAAGACCUUAGGGUUGUAAAACUCUUUCGCCGGAGAAGAUAAUGACGGUAUCCGGAGAAGAAGCCCCGGCUAACUUCGUGCCAGCCGCCGCUGUAACAC
rnacentral:rRNA from 1 species